UACGUAGGGUGCAAGCGUUAAUCGGAAUUACUGGGCGUAAAGCGUGCGCAGGCGGUUCUAUAAGACAGAUGUGAAAUCCCCGGGCUCAACCUGGGAACUGCAUUUGUGACUGUAGAGCUGGAGUGCGGCAGAGGGGGAUGGAAUUCCGCGUGUAGCAGUGAAAUGCGUAGAUAUGCGGAGGAACACCGAUGGCGAAGGCAAUCCCCUGGGCCUGCACUGACGCUCAUGCACGAAAGCGUGGGAGCAAACAGG
rnacentral:rRNA from 1 species